ensembl:lncRNA
CCCAUAGACGUCUAUGAGGAAAUGACUCUACUUCUCUGUAGUGACCAGCAGGGGGCGACUCCUCUGCUCCCAUAGACGUCUAUGAGGAAAUGACUCGGUCACACAAUUUCAAAAUAAAUGCUUUCAAUUAAUCUGUUUAGUCUUUUACCUGAUGUUUAUUUGCAAACUCGAAACAUGUGCAACAUCAACUGACUUCCUGUCUGUGGCCCACUGGUUUCUACUGAAGAUGACAUUCUUUCAAUAAUACAAUUUAAUCUGUAAUGAACUCAUUCUUAUCAAAACAGAGCGUACGUGUUAGUAGAUAAAGAUAGUUAGAAGAUAUAUUACCUACUUGUUAGUACAAGAAGAGAAGACACAGAGCAUAUACUCAUUACAGAUCUGCUAUAAUCAGUCCCCUACUCCUCUUCAUCUAACUGACAUUCCACAUUUAUUUUUGUGUGGGAAGUUUGUUUUUAAAUGAAGUGUUUUUGAAAGAUGAGACGAGAGAGAGAGGACGGGAUCAGAUUCACGUUAUCUCCCUAAUACGUUGAGUUGACCUUUGGCCUCGGAGAUAGAAACCAGGACUCAUUAUGAUCAACAUUUAACCAGCUGUACGUCAGUAAGAGUACAUGAAUAUACUUAAAUGUAAUCAUUAUGCAAAAUAAUACAGUAUUUUGGUGCUUUCAUCUAUAAUAAUACAUCAUCAUUAAUUAGUGGAUUAGAUUUUGUUCAUAAUGAUUCUUGAGUCUUUAAAGUAAUUUAAAUGAUCAAAUAAAUGUAGGGCAGUAAUAAAGACCAGAGGAGUAAAAGAAUAAAGUAGAUGAAAGCUCUGUCAUACUGACUACUUUCUCUCAUCAAAGAAACUUUCCUGUAGUAAUUGAAUAAUGAAAACGUUUAUACAGUAUAUAUAUAUAUAUAUAUAUAUAUAUGUAUUCAUGACAUUUGACAUUUGACACAUCGACACAUCGAUUCGUUGACAUAUAUGGAAGAAAAGACCAGAAAGAGCGUAACGUCGGAAACAUCCAGCUAAUGGCAAUUAAAGUAAAAACUAGCAAAUGUAUCGUUUGUAACUCAUGACGAAGCCCUUUAGUCCGGAUGAGAUUUUGCCGGGUUACAACUGGAUUCAAACCCAUCACAACGCCCCCUACAGGCCACUGUGCCCAUCACAACGCCCCCUACAGGCCUCCGUGCCCAUCACAACGCCCCCUACAGGCCACCGUGCCCAUCACAACGCCCCCUACAAGCCUCCGUGCCCAUCACAACGCCCCCUACAGGCCACCGUGCCCAUCACAACGCCCCCUACAAGCCUCCGUGCCCAUCACAACGCCCCCUACAGGCCACUGUGCCCAUCACAAGGCCCCCUACAGGCCUCCGUGCCCAUCACAACGCCCCCUACAAGCCUCCGUGCCCAUCACAACGCCCCCUACAGGCCACUGUGCCCAUCACAAGGCCCCCUACAGGCCUCCGUGCCCAUCACAACGCCCCCUACAGGCCACUGUGCCCAUCACAAGGCCCCCUACAGGCCUCCGUGCCCAUCACAACGCCCCCUACAAGCCUCCGUGCCCAUCACAACGCCCCCUACAGGCCUCCGUGCCCAUCACAACGCCCCCUACAGGCCACCGUGCCCAUCACAACGCCCCGUACAAGCUUCCGUGCCCAUCACAAGGCCCCCUACAGGCCACCGUGCCCAUCACAACGCCCCCUACAAGCCUCCGUGCCCAUCACAAGGCCCCCUACAGGCCACCGUGCCCAUCACAACGCCCCCUACAGGCCACUGUGCCCAUCACAAGGCCCCCUACAGGCCUCCGUGCCCAUCACAAGGCCCCCUACAAGCCUCCGUGCCCAUCACAAGGCCCCCUACAGGCCUCCGUGCCCAUCACAACGCCCCCUACAGGCCACUGUGCCCAUUACAACGCCCCCUACCGGCCUCCGUGCCCAUCACAACGCCCCCUACAGGUGCAGUUAUGGUAUUGAUGCAGUGUCCAGAUGUGGUACGGCACACACACACACACACACACACACACACACAGAAGACACUCCAAGGAAGAUAAUCUUUCGAAACAAAUGAUCAAUUCUAUCAUCUAUUAGAGAGCAUUUUUUAAGGUUUUAGAGUGAAAGUGGAUUUUGUUUUUGUGUUCUUUGUAUUAUAAUGUAAUUGUAACUUAUGCGUGAUUUAUACUUCAAUGCAUUGGAAUGUGUUCCUGUUGAUCUUUGCAGAUCUUUUCUGGUCUUAUGAGUUCACCUCUCAAAGCGGUAGAAGGAGAGUACCUGGGAGGCAUGGAGGUCUGCGGGGAGUCCCUGCAGCUGCCCUCAGGUCCGAUCCUCCCCUCGCUGUUUCUCCGGUCUUCCUGCGGUUCCUCCGCUCGCGAUGGAACCGAACACUUGAAAACUUUCAACAACGUCGCCUCCAGCCCCCCACUCCCCCUCCUCCACACCCCCAAGAAAGAAACGCUCAGUCCUCCUGCAGGUCCGCUGACCUACUUGUGUUUGCGCACCAAAAGCGUCCGAAGAGGACAAGGGAAUCGAUCCAACAUCUGUCCAGUAAGAUCUCCACGUUACGUCCACAUCUGGAUUAAGACUUCAUAUCAUGUGAGCGGCGCUGGUUUCAGCACUUUGGAGUCCCGGUGGAAGAUGUGAUCCGGGCGGCGGAGACUCGGACCGACCGAGUCUGCCGUUCCAGCGGAGGGAGGAAAGGAGGGAGGGGAGGAGAGAAGACGGAAGGGGGGAGGUCCAAGGGAGGUAGAGAGAGAAAGACCCAUGACAACGGUCCAGCUGUUUGCAGGACAACAAAACCUUUUCUGAGGGAGAGUUUCACUCUGCAGAGUUUACGUCAGCAGAAUGACGUCAUAAAGCCGCUCAGCGCAUCAAGCGAGGCUCGUUUAAUCAGGUGGGAAACAGAACCGUACACGCGCCAUUAGUGACAGUUUAUUACACCUACGUGCCUGGAAACAAACUGUAUUCUCAUAGAAAGACCCGCCCGCAGCACUCACUGAUUGGUGAACCGUCACGACUAACAGCCAAUCACACGCCUUGAAGGCACAGGCCUCAGAAGGUCAAUUCAACUACAUCCUCUCAGCUGAGGUCCUCAAGUAGCUGAAGCCAAAUGCCAGCAAAAUACAAACAAUGGUAUUGUUGUCUCUUUUGAGUUUGAUUUUUGGUAGAAUAAUGAAAAUGAACAAUACCUAUAAUAAAAACAAAGAAGUAACUCAGUGACAAGAGCAAACUCACAAGAACCAGUCACUUCUAUUUAUAACAAAACAUGACUAAACAAUCCAUCAAAACAGAUGCACUAAAGCAAGAGGACGGAGCCAAGGUUGUUGUCACGAUACCAAAAGUAUGACAAUACCUGCCAUGAAUAACCCAAUACCCAAUAUUUUCCAUACUAUACCAAAUAAAUACCAAUAAAUAAAACACAUGUUUGGUUCCCUUUUUACCAGCGUGUUCCUGCCCAGCUCUUUGAACACAACAAAUGACAUUAAUAUUAGUAUUAAUCUACAGCAAGAUAUGAAUGAAAACUACAUGGUGCCAUUGAUCACACACGGCUGUGUAAUGCAGCCAAAGUAUUUCCACAUUUCACUUCUGUUAUUUUGUCUCCAACCAUCCGAUGACUGUCGGCAAGAGCUCGUCCACGUGAGGCCGAGGCCCAAAGUCCCUAAACCAGUGGAUCUCAACUGGUCCGGCUCCGGGACCCACCAUCACCCCUUAAUGACAAGCUGCGACCCAAAUCGAGGAACAUUCUCAACGUCUCAAAUUUAUUUAAUGAAAAUAUGGUGCAGUUGGAACCUGAGAGAGUACGGAGACAGAAUCCGUAUGCCAACACAAAAACAAGUUUAAUGAAAAAACAAAACAGCCAGCUGUUAAUUCUAAUUUUCAUUUUCCCAGGCAAAGGCCCGUGACCCAUUAAAAACGGGUCCGCGACCCACCAGUUGAGAAUCACUGCCCUAAACCCUACGUCUGCCUCUGUAUGUACUAUUAGCUGACAAAUGUUUAUAUUUAAGUCCAGUACAAGGUGUAGUAGGUGGAGGGGCUACCUAGUACAGGUAUAGUGGGUGGAGGGGCUACCUAGUACAGGUGUAGUGGGACGAGGGGCUACCUAGUACAGGUGUAGUGGGACGAGGUGCUGCCUGGUCAAGAUGUAGUGGGUGGAGGUGCUACCUGGUCCAGGUGUAGUGGGUGGAGGGGCUACCGAGUACAGGUGUAGUGGGUGGAGGUGCUACCUGGUCCAGUUAUAGUGGGUGGAGGGGCUACCUAGUACAGGUGUAGUGGGACGAGGUGCUACCUGGUCCAGGUGUAGUGGGUGGAGGUGCUACCUGGUCCAGUUAUAGUGGGUGGAGGGGCUACCUGGUCCAGGUGUAGUGGGUGGAGGUGCUACCUGGUCCAGGUGUAGUGGGUGGAGGUGCUACCUGGUCCAGUUAUAGUGGGUGGACGUGCUACCUGGUCCAGGUGUAGUGGGUGGUGUGUUUUUAGCUGUAGAGGAUAGAUAGAGAGCAGACAGUCGGUAGUAAAAUAAAAUGUACUAUAUGGACCCCUGAGAAUGAGUGGAGUAAAAUGUACUAUAUUUCCACUGAAUGACUCGAGCUCAAACACACACACACACACACACACACGUGUACACACAGAAAAAACUAAUGAGCAAAUAAACAGAGGCAGUUGUCAUGGCUGCCACAUCGGAAAUUUCAAACCCCCUCACCUUGUAAAAAAACUAGAAAAAACGUUCCCUUUCCAGAAGGAAUGAAGACGUUAAUCACACCUCCAAAGUAUUUGCACGUGUAUUGGAUUAUUUGUAAAAAACGAUGUGUGUAUUCUGAAUUAUUUCUGUGUUUCUGACACAUUUCUGUCAUGAACUAAUUAUUGUUUGU